rnacentral:rRNA from 1 species
GUGGGGAAUAUUGGACAAUGGCCGGAAGGCUGAUCCAGCCAUGCCGCGUGAAGGAUAAGGUCCUAUGGAUUGUAAACUUCUUUUGAGAGGGAGCAAUAAGGUGUACGCGUACACCGAUGAGAGUACCUUUCGAAUAAGCAUCGGCUAACUCCGUGCCAGCAGCCGCGGUAAUACGGAGGAUGCGAGCGUUAUCCGGAUUUAUUGGGUUUAAAGGGUGCGUAGGCGGUUUAUCAAGUCAGCGGUGAAACGCAAGGGCUUAACCCUUGACCUGCCGUUGAAACUGGUGGACUGGAAUGCGGAUGCUGUGGGAGGAAUGUGUGGUGUAGCGGUGAAAUGCAUAGAUAUCACACAGAACACCGAUUGCGAAGGCAUCUCACAAAUCCGUGAUUGACGCUGAGGCACGAAAGUGUGGGGAUCAAACAGG